GGGGAUGUAGCUCAGUGGUAGAGCAUUUGCCUCGCAUGCAUGAGGCCCUAGACUCAAUCCCCA
rnacentral:tRNA from 1 species